rnacentral:rRNA from 1 species
UAGGGAAUCUUCGGCAAUGGGGGCAACCCUGACCGAGCAACGCCGCGGGAGUGAAGAAGGUUUUCGGAUCGUAAAGCUCUGUUGUAAGUCAAGAACGGGUGUGAGAGUGGAAAGUUCACACUGUGACGGUAGCUUACCAGAAAGGGACGGCUAACUACGUGCCAGCAGCCGCGGUAAUACGUAGGUCCCGAGCGUUGUCCGGAUUUAUUGGGCGUAAAGCGAGCGCAGGCGGUUUGAUAAGUCUGAAGUUAAAGGCUGUGGCUCAACCAUAGGUCGCUUUGGAAACUGUCAAACUUGAGUGCAGAAGGGGAGAGUGGAAUUCCAUUUGUAGCGGUGAAAUGCGUAGAUAUAUGGAGGAACACCGGUGGCGAAAGCGGCUCUCUGGUCUGUAACUGACGCUGAGGCUCGAAAGCGUGGGGAGCGAACAGG